GUUUGAUCAUGGCUCAGAACGAACGCUGGCGGCGUGCUUAACACAUGCAAGUCGAACGCGAAAGUUUUCUUCGGAAANCGAGUAGAGUGGCGCACGGGUGAGUAACGCGUAAAUAAUCUACCCUUGCAUCUGGGAUAACCCACCGAAAGGUGUGCUAAUACCGGAUACGUUCUUUUAACCGCGAGGUUUUAAGAAGAAAGGUGGCCUCUGAUAUAAGCUACUGUGCAGGGAGGAGUUUGCGUACCAUUAGCUAGUUGGUAGGGUAAUGGCCUACCAAGGCAACGAUGGUUAGCGGGUCUGAGAGGAUGAUCCANCACACUGGAACUGGAACACGGACCAGACUCCUACGGGAGGCAGCAGUGAGGAAUAUUGCGCAAUGGGGGAAACCCUGACGCAGCGACGCCGCGUGGAUGAUGAAGGCCUUCGGGUCGUAAAAUCCU
rnacentral:rRNA from 1 species